CCCUAGCCCCCGAUAGAAGCGACAUCCUUUUCAGGCAAUCGGGAAUAUCUUGUUUAUCGUAAAUGAUCUGCCUAAAAGAUAUAGCGGAUAGCGGGAAACAGC
rnacentral:sRNA from 1 species